rnacentral:misc_RNA from 1 species
AAGUCGUAACAAGGUUUCCGUAGGUGAACCUGCGGAAGGAUCAGUAACAUCUUUGUUAUCACCAAUAUCAACCUAAUGUGAACCUCAUCUCCCUAUUCAUUGUGAGGAUGAGAUUUGGCUUCGGCCGAAUCAAAUUCUCACAAUGCGGUAGGCACCCUUUCGUUUUCACCCAGUAGUCAUGUACUACGCUUCUGUGACCAUCUUCGGAGGGUUCCAGAAGUCCUCUGGUGCAUGAUGACCGGUUAUUACUCACCAAUUUUAACCCUAUAAUUUACAACCUGUCUCAUCUUCGAAAGCUUGAUUGUGCUGCUCAUCUGAGUGGUAUUGAUUAAGAUUUUACGAAAUCCUGCACAACUCUUAGCAAUGGAUAUCUUGGGUCAU